GACGAACGCUGGCGGCAGGCCUAACACAUGCAAGUCGAGCGAGCGGCGGAAGGGCGAGUAAGGUAUGGGGAACUGCCCGACAGAGGCGGCUAACUACUGGAAACGGUGGAUAAUACCGCAUACUAUCCGUUGAAGCCAUAUGGGAUUAGCUAGUAGGUGGGGUAAAGUAUCACCUAGGCGACGAUUCCUAGCUGGUCUGAGAGGGUUAUCGGCCACACUGGGACUGGGACACGGCCCAGACUCCUACGGGGGGCAGCAGUUGGGAAUCUUGCGCAAUGGACGCAAGCCUGACUCAGCCAUGCCGCGUGUAUGAAGAAGGCCUUAGGGUUGUAAACUCCUUUCGGCGGGGAAGCGUUACCCGAAGAAGAAGCCCCGGCUAACUCCGUGCCAGCCGCCGCGGUAAUUC
rnacentral:rRNA from 1 species